rnacentral:sRNA from 1 species
GCUGGGCAAGGUGGCGCACUCCUGUAAUCCCAGUAGCUCAGGAGACUGAGGCAGGAGGAUCACAAAUUCAAAGCCAGCCUCAGCAAUUUAGCAAGGCGCUAAGCAACUCUGUGAGACCCUGCCUCUA